rnacentral:rRNA from 1 species
UCACUGGGCGUAAAGCGUCUGUAGGUGGUUUAAUAAGUCAACUGUUAAAUCUUGAGGCUCAACCUCAAAAUCGCAGUCGAAACUAUUAGGCUAGAGUAUAGUAGGGGUAAAGGGAAUUCCAGUGGAGCGGUGAAAUGCGUAGAGAUUGGAAAGAACGCCGAUGGCGAAGGCACUUUACUGGGCUAUUACUAACACUCAGAGACGAAAGCUAGGGUAGCAAAUGGGAUUAGAUACCCCAGUAGUCCUAGCCGUAAACAAUGGAUACUAGAUGUUGAACAGAUCGACCUGUGCAGUAUUAAAGCUAACGCGUUAAGUAUCCCGCCUGGGAAGUAUGCUCGCAAGAGUGAAACUCAAAGGAAUUGACGGUGGCCCGCACAAGCGGUGGAGCAUGUGGUUUAAUUCGAUGCAACGCGAAGAACCUUACCAGGGUUUGACAUGAUACGAAUUUCUUUGAAAGAAGAAAGUGCCGUUUGGAACGUAUACACAGGUGGUGCAUGGCUGUCGUCAGCCUCGUGUCGUGAGAUGUUGGGUUAAGUCCCGCAACGAGCGGCAACCCUCAUUUUUAGUUGCCUUAUGGAACUCUAGAAAGACUGCCGGUUAUAAACCGGAGGAAGGCGGGGAUGACGUCAAGUCAGCAUGCCCCUUACAUCCUGGGCUACACACGUGCUACAAUGGGUGAGACAAUGAGAUGCAACUCUGCGAAGACUAGCUAAUCUAUAAACUCACUCUAAGUUCGGAUUGUAGGCUGCAACUCGCCUGCAUGAAGUUGGAAUCGCUAGUAAUCGCUGGU